CCCGCGUGCAAGCGAAGGAGGAGUCACAUAGGAAAAACCGUGUGGCAAUCCAGAGGCGUGAUGCGGACCGAACUAAAGUAGGGAAGUGUGUGAGCCAUGAAUCAAGAAAAGCCGCUAUUGUUUUUAAGAUACCCGUACCGUAAACCGACACAGGUGGAUGAGGAGAGAAUCCUAAGGCCGGCGGAAGAAGCAUUGUUAAGGAACUCGGCAAAAUGACCCCGUAACUUCGGGAGAAGGGGUGCCAACGAGAGUUGGCCGCAGAGAAUAGGCUCAAGCAACUGUUUAGCAAAAACACAGGUCUAUGCAAAACCGUAAGGUGAGGUAUAUGGGCUGACGCCUGCCCGGUGCUGGAAGGUUAAGAGGAGAGGUUAGCGUAAGCGAAGCUUUGAAUUUAAGCCCCAGUAAACGGCGGCCGUAACAAUAACGGUCCUAAGGUAGCGAAAUUCCUUGUCGGGUAAGUUCCGACCCGCACGAAAGGCGUAAUGAUUUGAGCGCUGUCUCGACAAUGCAUCCGGUGAAAUUGAAGUACCAGUGAAGAUGCUGGUUACCCGCGCCAGGACGGAAAGACCCCAUGGAGCUUUACUCCAGUUUGGUACUGGGGUCCGGCAGUGCAUGUACAGGAUAGGUGGGAGGCUUUGAACCUGGAACGCCAGUUUCAGGGGAGCCGAUGUUGGGAUACCACCCUUGUGCUGCUGGGCUUCUAACCAGCGGCCUUUAUCAGGCCGGGGGACAAUGCCAGACGGGGAGUUUGACUGGGGCGGUCGCCUCCGAAAGGGUAUCGGAGGCGCUCAAAGGUUCCCUCAGAAUGGUCGGAAACCAUUCGAAGAGUGCAAAGGCAGAAGGGAGCUUGACUGCGACACCGACGGGUGGAGCAGGUACGAAAGUAGGACUUAGUGAUCCGGUGGUAUUAAGUGGGAAUGCCAUCGCUCAACGGAUAAAAGCUACCCUGGGAUAACAGGCUUAUCACUCCCAAGAGUUCACAUCGACGGAGUGGUUUGGCACCUCGAUGUCGGCUCAUCGCAUCCUGGGGCUGUAGUAGGUCCCAAGGGUUGGGCUGUUCGCCCAUUAAAGCGGUACGCGAGCUGGGUUCAGAACGUCGUGAGACAGUUCGGUCCCUAUCCGGCGUGGGCGUAGGAUAUUUGAGAGGAGCUGUCCUUAGUACGAGAGGACCGGGAUGGACUGACCUCUGGUGUACCGGUUGAACCGCCAGGUUCACGGCCGGGUAGCCAAGUCGGGAAGGGAUAAACGCUGAAGGCAUCUAAGCGUGAAGCCCCCCUCAAGAUGAGAUAUCCCAUUCGAAAGAAGUAAGACCCCUUGAAGACGACGAGGUAGAUAGGGCAGGGGUGGAAGUGCCGUAAGGCAUGGAGCUGACUGUUACUAAUCGGUCGAGGGCUUGACC
rnacentral:rRNA from 1 species